GGAGAGGUGGCAGAGUGGUUGAAUGCGGCGGUCUUGAAAACCGCUUCGGGCCGAAAGCCCGACGGGGGUUCGAAUCCCUCCCUCUCCGCCA
rnacentral:tRNA from 1 species